UACGAAGGGGGCUAGCGUUGUUCGGAAUCACUGGGCGUAAAGCGUACGUAGGCGGAUUGUUAAGUCAGGGGUGAGAGCCCGAGGCUCAACCUCGGAAUUGCCUUUGAUACUGGCUGUCUUGAGUCCGGGAGAGGUGAGUGGAACUCCUAGUGUAGAGGUGAAAUUCGUAGAUAUUAGGAAGAACACCAGUGGCGAAGGCGGCUCACUGGCCCGGAACUGACGCUGAUGUACGAAAGCGUGGGGAGCAAACAGG
rnacentral:rRNA from 1 species